CGGUACAUCGGUGACAGGUGGUGCAUGGUUGUCGUCAGCUCGUGUCGUGAGAUGUUGGGUUAAGUCCCGCAACGAGCGCAACCCUAUUGUUAGUUGCCAUCAUUCAGUUGGGCACUCUAGCGAGACUGCCGGUAAUAAACCGGAGGAAGGUGGGGAUGACGUCAAAUCAUCAUGCCCCUUAUGACCUGGGCUACACACGUGCUACAAUGGUUGGUACAACGAGUUGCGAGUCGGUGACGGCGAGCUAAUCUCUUAAAGCCAAUCUCAGUUCGGAUUGUAGGCUGCAACUCGCCUACAUGAAGUCGGAAUCGCUAGUAAUCGCGGAUCAGCACGCCGCGGUGAAUACGUUCCCGGGCCUU
rnacentral:rRNA from 1 species